rnacentral:rRNA from 1 species
AACGAACGCUGGCGGCAGGCUUAACACAUGCAAGUCGAGCGCCCCGCCAGGGGAGCGGCAGACGGGUGAGUAACGCGUGGGAACGUACCUUUUGGUUCGGAACAACUCCGGGAAACUGGAGCUAAUACCGGAUAAGCCCUAACGGGGAAAGAUUUAUCGCCGAAAGAUCGGCCCGCGUCUGAUUAGCUAGUUGGUGAGGUAACGGCUCACCAAGGCGACGAUCAGUAGCUGGUCUGUGAGGAUGAUCAGCCACACUGGGACUGAGACACGGCCCAGACUCCUACGGGAGGCAGCAGUGGGGAAUAUUGGACAAUGGGCGCAAGCCUGAUCCAGCCAUGCCGCGUGAGUGAUGAAGGCCUUAGGGUUGUAAAGCUCUUUUGUCCGGGAAGAUAAUGACUGUACCGGAAGAAUAAGCCCCGGCUAACUUCGUG